ACAUGAAGCUGGAAUCGCUAGUAAUCGCGAAUCAGAAUGUCGCGGUGAAUACGUUCCCGGGUCUUGUACACACCGCCCGUCACACCAUGGGAGUCGGAAAUGCCCGAAGCCUGUGAGCUAACAGUAAUGAGGCAGCAGUCGAAGGUAGAGCCAAUGAUUGGGGUGAAGUCGUAACAAGGUACC
rnacentral:rRNA from 1 species